ensembl:lncRNA
AUGUAUAAUUCUGCCCCCCAGUAUAAACGCAUCGGUCCUCGCUGCAGGACAUCCUAUGAAGAGGCUCUGGCAAUCCAUCGCUACAUCUACAUCAGAUAUAAAAAUCACUCAUGGAAUAGUUUUUCAUAUGAGUUUAACACCCAUAAACGUAAAGGCGACACGUCUUUUAUCCUAAAAGAAACCCUCGACCGUUCCCAGAUUCAGUUGGACUGCACCUCUGAGGGCAGCACUCAUUACUGUCCCAACUACGUGUUGUAAGUGCUCGGAGGUCCAGUAAGAACACCACAGGGACACUUAACACAAGCCACAUUCCACCGAAGGACUCCAUCAGACUUGCUGCGUUUGUCAUAGAUAACCCAAACUCAGUGAGUGAGCUUAAAAAUAAAAACCUGCCGCUUUAUAAACUAAUCA